GGCCCCGUAGUUCAACGGAUAGAAUAGAUGUUUCCUAAACAUCCGAUCCUGGUUCGAUUCCAGGCGGGGCCA
rnacentral:tRNA from 1 species